GAAUUUUGGACAAUGGGCGAAAGCCUGAUCCAGCACUGCCGCGUGCAGGAUGAAGGCCUUCGGGUUGUAAACUGCUUUCGUACGGAACGAAACGCUUUCGGUUGAUACCCUGGAGUCUUCCCCGUACCGUACGUUUCCCACCCCGCUAACUACUUUCCAGCAGCCUCGGUAAUACUUCGGGUUCAAGCGUUAAACGGCAUUACUGGGCGUAAAGCGUGCGCAGGCGGUUUUGUAAGACAGAGGUGAAAUCCCCGGGCUCAAACUGGGAACUGCCGUGGGGACUGCAAGGCUAGAGUACGGCAGAGGGGGGUGGAAUUCCGCGUGUAGCAGUGAAAUGCGUAGAUAUGCGGAGGAACACCGAUGGCGAAGGCAACCCCCUGGGCCUGUACUGACGCUCAUGCACGAAAGCGUGGGGAGCAAACA
rnacentral:rRNA from 1 species